GUCGGGAUAGCUCAGCGGUAGAGCAGAGGACUGAAA
rnacentral:tRNA from 1 species